CCGACCAUAGCUCAGUUGGAAGAGCACAAGACUGUAAUUUGAUACAUAGAGUUGCCUAUCUUGGGGUCGCCUGUUCGAACCAGGCUGGUCGGA